AGUCAAUAAGCUUUAAGCAAUAUAACUUGAAACUAUAAGAAAGUAAAAUAUACUAUUGACUU
rnacentral:tRNA from 1 species